AGGUCUGUUAGAGCACGUGGAGCGUUAAGAUCCUGACAUUGCGGACUACUGAUGUGUUUAACGCGGCGUGACUACUGAUGGGUUUAUCGCGGCGUGUUUCACAAGAUCCGAAUGUUGUACGCGGGUGGAGAGUCGACUCACACCUCCUCACAAGUCCUUCUGUGCAGAAUGUCAGGGCCGAUUGGUAAGGGCGUGCUUCUUCUCCCGCCCCAGGCGGCGCAGAAGACUUGUCAAGGGAGAAAGCACCGGAAGGGUGGCUCAGUGUAUAGUCCCAACACCUGCCCGGAAUCCUGGCCCUGCCUCGCGGGUGUUUAUCUCCGCUUCCUCCAGUGUGCUUAUCCUGUGCGUCAGGGAGGUGAAGGAUAAAUAUCGUAUCUAGGAUAAAUGGGGGUAGGUUGUGGGGCGAGGCACCCUUUUAGUCCAACUUGGUCCAGAGGAAACGAGUCUGAGGGCGAAAUGAUCCGUCAGCUCUGGAGGAAACAGGAAAGAAUAGACCAGAAUGGUAGCCAGCUUACUCCCGGACUUAGCUAUCCAUCUGGUCCCAAGGAGGGUCUUGUUGAUCAAAAGCUUGCUUAGUGGUACACCCAAUCUGGAGAAGCAAGUUUUAGAAGGGAACCAACCCAAUCUACACAGGGAUUUUAAAAGCAGACUGUAGGGUGAAAGGGCUUUAGGUUGUCAUUCUUAGGAAAUCUUAGGUAAGAGGGUUUUUGAGAUAAUGUGGUCACACAUCUGAAAGGUUCAGCAUCCCAGGCCUGGUGAGGCCAUCAUCAUGGGCACCAUUAUCAGCUCUGGCAUCUUCGUGACGCCCACCGACGAGCUCAAGGAAGUGGGUUCAAGCCCUCAUGGUAUGGGCUGUGUAAUUUGAGCUGAUGGUGCGCUUGGAAAGUUUCAUUGCUCAAGAUCAGUCCAGGAGCCCCAAGACCCCCUCCUUUUCACCAGCUGUUCCGUUUUCUGUCCAAAGGGGUCCCCAGGAAAACUCACAAGCAGAAGGGAGGGUGGGGGCAGGGGCUUAAUUUAAGAAGAACCUUCAGACUUGUAAGGAUGCAGAGCCCUGUAUGCUCUGCCAAACUGUCCAGCCUGCCAAGCCUUGCCCACUCCUGAGGCAUGACCAAUGAAGAAAUUCAAACUUCUCCCCAUCUUUGGAUCUCCUUCUGCAGCUAAGAAUGCCAGAGCUGCCCCUUGGAAGCCCACGUCAGGGAGGUGUUCAGCCAAGGACUCCAAGGGUCACUGGAGCUACCUUCCCCAACCCCUAGUAUGUCAGCCAUUCACAAGCAAUGACAAGCUGGCAUCUCUGUAGCCUGAGCAGUGGGAAGCCAUGGAGCUAAAAGGUCACACCAACAUUAACCAUGCCACAGUACAGACUGCCUAAACUGAUGGCUUUGGGAAGAUUGAGAAACUUGCUAUGUCAUUCUUGACAUAGUCCUUUCAGAGGGCUAAAAGCAUACCACCAACCCACUGAGACAUCGCUAAGAUUCCAAGGUACAUCGUCUAACUUAAUAGGACACGUGGCAACUCUUAGAAACACUUUGUAGUAAAUGAGGAAGCCAACUCGGCAGUUGUGUAACUUGCCUGCCCAGUAUGCGCAGCCUCAUGGCCUCCUACCUUGAGGCAAGCAGCCCGCUUACCUCUCACCUGUGGGUGGCUAACUAACCCUUGCUUCUUUUGAAAUCUGUCCUUGUUCCCAGUGGAAUCUGGGUUCUGCAUCGCAGCCGUGGGGAAGCUUUGAUUUGAGCCAGAGAUAGCAAUAGUCCAAGGAGGUAUAAAAUCGCAACCAUAGUUAAGUCAAAGCCACUAUCAGAGGCCAAGGAAGGUGGUCAUGGAGGGACACAGCAGGUUCAAAUGGUUCUUCUGGGUCUAGAGUUCAGAGAAAGAAUGAACAAGAAAGCAAGAGGGGGACCUGAGCCCUGGGCAGAAGCUGCUCUGGUGACAAUACCCAGUGAAUGUCCCCAAGACCCCUGGCUCGUGACUCUGCUGCUGCUUAUCACAGCAUUAGAUAAGGCCUUAAACUUUUUCCUGCAAAGC
ensembl:antisense